rnacentral:rRNA from 1 species
AUUGAACGCUGGCGGCAUGCUUUACACAUGCAAGUCGAACGGUAACAGGCCUUCGGGUGCUGACGAGUGGCGAACGGGUGAGUAAUGCAUCGGAACGUACCCAGAGGUGGGGGAUAACGCAGCGAAAGCUGUGCUAAUACCGCAUGUGAUCUGAGGAUGAAAGCGGGGGACCGAGCAGCAAUGUUUGGCCUCGCGCCUUUGGAGCGGCCGAUGUCGGAUUAGCUAGUUGGUGGGGUAAAGGCCUACCAAGGCGACGAUCCGUAGCUGGUCUGAGAGGACGACCCGGCAACCUGGGACUGAGACAAGGCCCCGACCCCUACCGGAGGCAACAGGGGGGAAAUUUUGACCAAUGGCGCCAGGCUGAUCCAACAAAGCCGCGUGCGGGAAGGAGGGCUUCCGGUUGGAAACCGCUUUUGGCAGGAACGAAACCGGGUCCGCUAAAACCGGGCGCUAAUGACGGUACCUUCAGAAUAAGCACCGGCUAACUACGUG